UAGAAGACAUGGCCAGUUGGUAGAGCAUGAGACUUUUAAGCUCAGGGUUGUGGGUUUGAGUCCCACAUUGGGCAAAA